UUUCCGUAGGUGAACCUGCGGAAGGAUCAUUCAUAAUAAGUGUUUUAUGGCACUUUUUUAAAUCCAUAUCACCUUGUGUGCAAUGUCAGGGUUGAUUUUUCUCUCGAGAGGAUCAGCCCCAAACAUCAACUAUAUCUCAACUCUUUGUCUGAAAAAUAUUAUGAAUAAAACAAUUCAAAAUACAACUUUCAACAACGGAUCUCUUGGCUCUC
rnacentral:misc_RNA from 1 species